rnacentral:rRNA from 1 species
UACGGGGGGGGCAAGCGUUGUUCGGAAUUACUGGGCGUAAAGGGCUCGUAGGCGGCCAACUAAGUCCGACGUGAAAUCCCCAGGCUUAACCUGGGAACUGCGUCGGAUACUGGAUGGCUUGAAUUCGGGAGAGGGAUGCAGAAUUCCAGGUGUAGCGGUGAAAUGCGCAGAUAUCGGGAAGAACACCCGUGGCGAAGGCGGCUCUCUGGGACGGUACUGACGCUGAGGCACGAAGGCCAGGGGAGCAAACGGG